rnacentral:rRNA from 1 species
AUUGAACGCUGGCGGCAUGCCUUACACAUGCAAGUCGAACGGUAACGCGGGGCAACCUGGCGACGAGUGGCGAACGGGUGAGUAAUGCAUCGGAACGUGCCCAUCAGUGGGGGAUAGCCCGGCGAAAGCCGGAUUAAAACCGCAUACGACCUGAGGGUGAAAGCGGGGGACCGUAAGGCCUCGCGCUGAUGGAGCGGCCGAUGUCGGAUUAGCUAGUUGGUGGGGUAAAGGCUUACCAAGGCAACGAUCCGUAGCUGGUCUGAGAGGACGACCAGCCACACUGGGACUGAGACACGGCCCAGACUCCUACGGGAGGCAGCAGUGGGGAAUUUUGGACAACGGGCGCAAGCCUGAUCCAGCAAUGCCGCGUGCAGGAUGAAGGCCUUCGGGUUGUAAACUGCUUUUGUACGGAACGAAAAGCCCUGGGUUAAUACCCUGGGGUCAUGACGGUACCGUAAGAAUAAGCACCGGCUAACUCUGUGCCAGCCGCCGCCGUAAUAC